rnacentral:lncRNA from 1 species
AUUACUCUCUUUUUCUCACCCUCGCCGCCUCACCCUCCUCCACGGCGACGGCGCGGCGACUCUGCGUCCACCCACCCUCCUCCGCCGCAUCCACCCCUGUCUCAGGUAACCCCAUUCUUUCUCUCUCUUUCGAGAUCUAUUUCUCCUGCCCUCUCUCUGCUCUCCCUCUCGAUCUCUCUUUUGUCUCUUGUUUGCGGCGGCCGCUGCGAGCCGGGGCGGCGCAUGCAGCACCGGUCGUCGUUGCCGCCUCCGCUCCCUCUUUCUUCCUCGCUCACUCCGCCUCCAUGUCCGUCUCAGAUCUAUCUCUCACUUCAUCUUACUCUCUAUCUUACACAGCGCCGUCGGAGCGCGCGAUGGCGGAGUGCGCUGCCCACACCGACUUCACCACCUCCUAGCGCUCGUAGCAGCGGCGACGGCGGAGUGCUCCACAGACUCCAGCGACUUCACACCCCUCUAUGUAGAAGAACCGAGCCCUAGAUCCCCAAUUUUCCCACUCGAUUUCAGGUGAUGAUAGACACGCCCCUGCCUCUAUCUCUC